CGCAGCCGCGGUAAUUCCAGCUCCAAUAGCGUAUAUUAAAGUUGUUGCAGUUAAAAAGCUCGUAGUUGAAUUUCGGGAUUAGUACGUUGGUCGUGCCUUAGGUACGUACUGGUGUUACUGGUUCCUACCUUCUGACGAACCAUCAUGUCAUUAAUUUGGUGUGGCGGGGAAUCAGGACUGUUACUUUGAAAAAAAUUAGGGUGUUUAAAGCAGGCUCGCGCUUGAAUACAUUAGCAUGGAAUAAUGAAAUAGGACGUUGACCCUAUUUUGUUGGUUUCUAGGAUUGACGUAAUGAUUAAUAGGGAUAGUUGGGGGCAUUAGUAUUCAAUUGCCAGAGGUGAAAUUCUUGGAUUUAUUGAAGACUAACUACUGCGAAAGCAUUUGCCAAGGAUGUUUUCAUUAAUCAAGAACGAAAGUUAGGGAUCGAAGACGAUCAGAUACCGUCGUAGUCUUAACCAUAAAACUAUGCCGACUAGGGAUCGGAUGAUGUUAUUUUAAUGACUCAUUCGGCGCCUUACGG
rnacentral:rRNA from 1 species